GCCUGCAGUGGAACCCCCCACGGGGCUCCAGCCUGGCAUCCCGACAGGCCAAUACACGCACCUUUAAAAUCGAGAAUGGAACCCGCAAGAGUACCCGACCUGCACACCAACAGGCGAUCUUGGCAACAACUAUCCCGCUAAGCGCCACCCGACAGAGGAGGUCAAGCAGAGCCGACAGCGAUAAUGAUCACACUGCGGAGCCGCCCAACGGGAACAUUCCAG